rnacentral:rRNA from 1 species
GAUUGAACGCUGGCGGAAUGCUUUACCCAUGCAAGUCGAACGGCAGCACGGGGGCAGCCCUGGUGGCGCGUGGCGAACGGGUGAGUAAUACAUCGGAACGUGCCCGGUCGUGGGGGAUAACGUAGCGAAAGUUACGCUAAUACCGCAUACGAUCUGAGGAUGAAAGCGGGGGACCUUCGGGCCUCGCGCGAUCGGAGCGGCCGAUGUCAGAUUAGGUAGUUGGUGGGGUAAAGGCCUACCAAGCCGACGAUCUGUAGCUGGUCUGAGAGGACGACCAGCCACACUGGGACUGAGACACGGCCCAGACUCCUACGGGAGGCAGCAGUGGGGAAUUUUGGACAAUGGGCGCAAGCCUGAUCCAGCCAUUCCGCGUGCAGGACGAAGGCCUUCGGGUUGUAAACUGCUUUUGUACGGAACGAAAAGGCUCUGGCUAAUACCUGGGGCUCAUGACGGUACCGUAAGAAUAAGCACCGGCUAACUACGUG